UGGGGAAUAUUGGACAAUGGGCGCAAGCCUGAUCCAGCCAUGCCGCGUGAGUGACGAAGGCCUUAGGGUUGUAAAGCUCUUUUGGCGGGGACGAUAAUGACGGUACCCGCAGAAUAAGCCCCGGCUAACUUCGUGCCAGCAGCCGCGGUAAUACGAAGGGGGCUAGCGUUGUUCGGAAUCACUGGGCGUAAAGCGCACGUAGGCGGAUUUGUAAGUCAGGGGUGAAAUCCCGGGGCUCAACCUCGGAACUGCCUUUGAUACUGCAAGUCUCGAGUUCGGGAGAGGUGAGUGGAAUUCCUAGUGUAGAGGUGAAAUUCGUAGAUAUUGGGAAGAACACCAGUGGCGAAGGCGGCUAACUGGUCCGGUACUGACGCUGAGGUGCGAAAGCGUGGGGAGCAAACAGGAUUAGAUACCCCAGUAGUCCCUGAGCGGGCUGGCAAGGCGCAU
rnacentral:rRNA from 1 species